rnacentral:lncRNA from 1 species
CACAAUGGGGGCAGUAGAAUCAAAGUUAAGGAAAUUGUGUUCUUAAUUUUUGAAUUCAAUUUCCAAAAUGAAGACACUAUGUCCGGAAUAUUGAAUUAUCAUAGGAGGCGAUGUACUAAACUUUAUCAAUCCAGUAAUUCAAAGUUAAGGGCUAAUUCUUAUCUACUGUAUAAUCAAAUCAACAAAAAUCUAAAAAAGUAUAACUAUAGCGAAAUAAAAAUCUAUAGAAACACAAUAAAGUAGAACAUACUGUUUAUCUAUGUCUUUUUUUUGGAUUAGAGUGCUGAAUUUUUGAAAUCGGAAGAGAAAUGGUUGCUCGCCUCAGUUGAUCGUCGUUUCUGCUGCUGCUAUUGUUCGCUUUU